rnacentral:tRNA from 1 species
GGUUUGUGGCUCAGUGGUAGAAUGCUUGCCUGGCAUGUGUGAGGCACUGGGUUCAAUUCUCAGCACCA